AGAGUUUGAUCCUGGCUCAGAUUGAACGCUGGCGGCAGGCUUAACACAUGCAAGUCGAGCGGUAACAUUUCUAGCUUGCUAGAAGAUGACGAGCGGCGGACGGGUGAGUAAUGCUUGGGAAUAUGCCUUAUGGUGGGGGACAACGGUUGGAAACGACUGCUAAUACCGCAUAACGUCUACGGACCAAAGGGGGGGAUCUUCGGACCUCUCGCCAUUUGAUUAGCCCAAGUGAGAUUAGCUAGUUGGUAAGGUAAUGGCUUACCAAGGCGACGAUCUCUAGCUGGUUUGAGAGGAUGAUCAGCCACACUGGGACUGAGACACGGCCCAGACUCCUACGGGAGGCAGCAGUGGGGAAUAUUGCACAAUGGGCGAAAGCCUGAUGCAGCCAUGCCGCGUGUGUGAAGAAGGCCUUCGGGUUGUAAAGCACUUUCAGUUGUGAGGAAAGGGGUGUAGUUAAUAACUACAUUCUGUGACGUUAACAACAGAAGAAGCACCGGCUAACUUCGUGCCAGCAGCCGCGGUAAUACGAGGGGUGCAAGCGUUAAUCGGAAUUACUGGGCGUAAAGCGUUCGUAGGCGGUCUAUUAAGCAAGAUGUGAAAGCCCAGGGCUCAACCUUGGAACUGCAUUUUGAACUGGUAGACUAGAGUACUGUAGAGGGUGGUGGAAUUUCCAGUGUAGCGGUGAAAUGCGUAGAGAUUGGAAGGAACAUCAGUGGCGAAGGCGGCCACCUGGACAGAUACUGACGCUGAGGAACGAAGGCGUGGGGAGCGAACAGGAUUAGAUACCCUGGUAGUCCACGCCGUAAACGAUGUCAACUAGCCGUUUGUGUCCUUGAGACGUGAGUGGCGCAGCUAACGCACUAAGUUGACCGCCUGGGGAGUACGGCCGCAAGGUUAAAACUCAAAGGAAUUGACGGG
rnacentral:rRNA from 1 species